rnacentral:rRNA from 1 species
GACGAACGCUGGCGGCGUGCCUAAUACAUGCAAGUCGAGCGCUGACGGUUGGUACUUGUACCGACUGGAUGAGCAGCGAACGGGUGAGUAACGCGUGGGGAAUCUGCCUUUGAGCGGGGGACAACAUUUGGAAACGAAUGCUAAUACCGCAUAAAAACUUUAAACACAAGUUUUAAGUUUGAAAGAUGCAAUUGCAUCACUCAAAGAUGAUCCCGCGUUGUAUUAGCUAGGUGGUGAGGUAAAGGCUCACCAAGGCGAUGAUACAUAGCCGACCUGGGAGGGAGAACGGCCACAAUGGGACUGAGACACGGCCCAAGAUCCUACGGGAGGGAGCAGUAGGGAAACUUCGGCAAUGGAGGGAAGUCUGAACGAGCAACGCCGGGGGGGUGAAGAAGGGUUUCGGAUCGUAAAACUCCGUUGGUAGGGAAGAAAGUUGGUGAGAGUGGAAAGCUCAUCAAGUGACGGUAACUACACAGAAAGGAACGGCUAACUACGUG